GACACAGUGGCCCAUGAAGUGGAACCCUCUGAAAUGCAGUACAGUUAUUGGAAGCAAAUAUGAGUAUGAGGAUCCAAUGGCACAGAAACACCUGAAGACAAAGUGCUUUGUGGAUAUAUAUCAGGUAGCCCAUGAAGCUUUGGUGAGACAGUUUUUGUGAGGCUAUACAAAGAAUAGAUUGUGUAGAAUUUUUGUGAACCCCUGGUUCAGAAGGUCAGUGUUGAAAUUCUACUCCAUUUCACAAAUGUGUGGCCGUAUGCUGCCAUCUGUCUGUUCUGCAGCUGGGAGUUAAUAGUGCACUGUUAAUGUUAUGUUCCAAAUUGCAGCUAUUUUUUGUGUUUCUGAAAAGCUGUUAAAACUCAUGAUUUAUUAUUUUAUCUCAUUUUUAAACAGUUUUUUAGUCUGCUUUGGUUCUUUGUGGGAAAGUAAACUGCAAGGCUGAAAGGUUUGACGUCUCUAAACAGCUAAUUUUUCCUCUCCAAAACACAAAAAAAUGUCACUCUUAUACUUUCUAUAGAAAGAAAGAAAAACUGAAUUAGUGUUGUCUGUGAUAUCUGUCAUUCUCGCAAAUCUUACUGUGUCAAUGUAGCACCAAAUUAAACACACUAUGAAAUGUUAAUUCAAGCCAAAUUCAGUGAUGUGCUUAUUAUUAACUCAUUUAUUGUAAAAGUCUUGAAACUGAAUUGGGACUGACUAGCAACCUACAAAUUUUGUACAUUAAAGACUAAUACAUGUUAUUAUUGUGAAAAGAUUGUAAAGGAAGAAAGAUAUUGCAUGUUGUAGUUAAAACCCAGUUUGAAACUAAGACGCAGAUGCUUGCUGACUCCACUCUGUGCCUGCUCCCCUGGUAGGGAGGAGAAUUGGGAAAAAAAAGCAAAAUUUGCCAGUUAGACAAGAACAGUUUAAGAAUGGGAAAAAUUAUAAUAACAUUAAUUGUAAUAAUAACAGUGAGAAAACAAUAAUAUUACUUAAUUGAAAUUUGUUAAUAAUAAUUGUCAUGAAAAUGAAAGAAAGAGAGAGAGGAACAAAACCCAAAAGAAAUAGGACACAGUUGCUCACCACCUGCUGAUGGAUGCUCAGCCCAUCCCCAAGCAGUGAUCGGCCCCUCCCAGCCGACUCUCCCAGUUCCUGUCCCGAGUGUGCCCUCCCAUGCUGUGGGA
rnacentral:lncRNA from 1 species